AAUGUUACACACAUUGCCCCUUCGUUAGUGAAAGAUAAAUCGUUGGUUUAAGAUGUGUUUUGAUGCGUGAUCAAAUUUGAAGGUUAGAAGUUCAAUCUAAAGUAAAGAGUAUGUCUGAAUCAUCUUUAGUCGAAGAUAGUACAUCUACUAAGUUGACAUCUACAUUAGAGAAUUAUCUAAAGAAAUUGGACGAAACUACGAUUCAUCAUGAGUAUAUGAUCGCUUUGUUUAUAGUUCUUUUAUCGGAGUCUGGUUUUUACGUAUUACCUAUGUCGGAAGCUUCUUUUAGCAAAAAUGAAAAGCUCAUAUAUACAUCACCAAAACAAUGGAAAACUAUGAAAGAUAUUUAUGAGAUCAAGCUUGUAUUGAAAUAUCUACCUCAUGUGAUAUGCAAAUUAGUUGCUAUAUCUUCUGGAGAUAGAUUGAUUGUUAAUUUCUUUUCGACCACAGGAGAAAAGAAUGUUUAUAGUAUUGCUAUACAAAGUUUAAAAUAUGUGAAUCCUUUUUCAAACAAUUUUGCUAGUCGUUAUAUGAAUCUUAAGGAAAUAUCACACAGGUUCAAAGAUGCAUUGGUCAUGCGAGUACGAGCAGAUAUUUUAACGGAAGCUGGCCUUAUCAAUCCUAGCUUUCAGGGUUUACCUACAGAAUUGAAAUUAAAAAUUCUGGGGAUGUUAGAAGCUUCCACAUUAAUGCAAGUUUCACAGUGUUCUCGGCAUUUUAACGUAUUAUGUAAGGAACCACUCUUAUGGCAAGCAUUGUUGCGAAGAGACUUUGCAGAAAAAGGACGAGAGUACAAAGACCGUGGCAGCAAGCGACAACACGGAGAAGGAACGUACCAGUUCGCAAAUUAACGGCGAUACCGGUAAGUGAUCUACUCGGUCGUAUUCUGUAUUUUCUACGGAGUCUUUUGUAAUUCGAAUCUAUGAUAGAUUCAGUACGACCGAUGGUAUAACAGAUUGAAGUCUAAAAGUUAAAUUAAUAAUUAAUUGGAAUAAACGAUAUUUCCUCAUUUAUAUAUUUUGUGUGUGUGUGUGUGUGUGUGUAUACAGUAAAUUUAAUACAAUACAAAAUAUAAAGAAAUAAUAAAUAUAAAAUUCAUGAAAAGUAUAGAUUAGAAAGAUCUGCUGUUAGAAAUAUUAUCUGUAUAUUUAAUAUAUUUCAAGAAUGCUAUUGAUAUAUAUGUACAUACACGUUGAGAUAAUAUGUAAGUCUUUAGAGUGGUCCGUCUAGGUUGAAAUCGAGAAGUAUGAAUCAGCAGGUUCAUAGCUUUUUAUUCCUAGCAGGUUUAUCCGCAUUCCAAUAGAAUACCAAUGAAAUUCAACGACGUGUACGAACGGAUCUGCUACGUAAUUCAAAACUUGAAGAAAAAAAAAGAAACAUUAGCCGGAUACAUAAAACGUGUCUCAUUAACGUACGAGAUAUAAAAAUUUCAAGGAUGAAUAGAAAAAAAGCUUAAGGAUCUCUCUCUCUCUCUCUCUCUCUCUCUCUCUCUCUCUCUCUCGCCAGUGUGCAAGUUCGUCGAAAAUGAUGCUGACAGGUGCAUUAAGAGUCGUCACAAGAGCAAAAAAAAUAUUGUAGUGCCAUUGACCUUUGUCCGAAUGUACUACGAGCAUGUCGAAAAUACACUAAAAAGGCAUUGAAAAGCUUCUUUAGAAAAAUGUAUAUGUAUGUAAAUAUAUUUACAUCUCGAAGAAAUUUUCGAAAGAAAUCAAAAUUAUGAAUGCAUUUUUUAAAAUAUAUUCUUCAAAUGAUUCUUAUUAAAAGUUCGUCAAAAAGGAAGACGAAAAAAUGAAAUGGAAACAGUACGAUAGUCGACUUAGGUCAAACUCAUCGAAGGUUAACAAGAAAUUAGAUCCGCGUGGUCUAAUUAAAAAGAACAGAAACAAAUCUUACAUACCUUUUUCUAAUAGAAUUAUUUCGUUCAAUAUUUUAUUUUUAUCUUUAGUUUUUUUUCUUUCUUAUAAAAAGUUUUGAUUUAAAAGUGCAUAUACUUUAACGAUAAAAUUGGUGUGUAUAUAUAUAUAUAUAUAUAUAUACACCAAUUUUAUAUAUAUAUAUAUAUAUAUAUAUAUAUAUAUAUAUAGAGAGAGAGAGAGAGAGAGAGAGAGAGAGAAAGAGAGAGAGAGAGAGAGAGGGUGGACACGCGUGGUCCGGGGCCACGAUACGCGCAUAUUUCGAGGCCGAUGGAGCUUAAGCUUGCGCUGUUUGGACGUCGCUUUUUCCAUCUUCCUUCCGCAUAGAACGCUUUCUCUUUACGUCUCUCUUCCACCCUCGCAGCCUCGAUAUUCUCACUCGGUACAGGUUUCAUCCCCAGUGCGCGCAUCGAACCCGUCCUGGACGAUAGUCCUUCCCGCUCGUAUUCCAUCUAGGACGCACAUUUCAUAAUACAUUCAUAUAAAUAUAUACACGUAUAUACAUAUAUACACAAAUCUCUUUCUCCUUAUGAUUUUAUUUUUCAUCUCCUUAUUCGAUCGAAAAAAAAAAAAUAGAAAAAAGAUAACGUCCGAAAGAAAGUCGAGCAAUGUGAGUUCGAUUUUUGUGAUCAUCGAAGUCUCGUUUAUAUCGUCUUGAGUUAUACAACGUGUCUCUCUUUCUGUGGUGGAUACGUUCAUCUCUCUGUGUAUUUGUGUAUGUGAAUGUUAUUCUUUGUCACAAGAAAAUUGUAUCACAUUCAGUGACACGCGACUCAACGCUAUUCGAUGUGUCAGUUCCGAUCGCUCGUUUCGCAACGUUUCUGUCGAACGUCUGGAUAACAAUCGAUCGAUGAGAGAUGAGAAUGUAAGAAUUGUUUGGUAAAAAAAAAAUAACAAAAAAAAAAAGAAAAAAGAAAUAAAACUUGUGAUUUUGCUUUCAUCUCUCAAACUUCUUUCUCCGAAUUUUUUUGUUCUUUCGAUUAAUUCAUGAAAAGAAUUUUUAUAUAUAUUUAUACGUAUUAUAUAUCUAUAUAUAUACAUAUAUAUAUAUAUAUAUAUAUAUAUAUAUAUAUAUAUAUAGAGAGAGAGAGAGAGAGAGAGAGAGAGAGAAAGAGAGAGAGAGAGAGAGAGAAUACGAAGCCUACAAAGAAAACCAAAUUAGAUGCAUGUAUAUCGAACAGUUAGUCUCGCCAGUUCGUAAACACAAUAUUUUUCUUUAAUGCUCAAUAAAAUUAUAUUUUAAUACGAGUAUUUAAAGUACUUCAUCCUCUCUUUCUUUCUCUCCCUCUCUCUUUCUUUCUCUUACUUUGUUUAUUUGUUAUAUUGUCAGAUAAUAAAAUGAAAACAUAGGAGAAAAAUUGAUAUAAAUAGAAAAAAAGAGAGGGGGAAAGAGAAAGAGGGAAUCGAUCUGGCCACAUAAGAAAUACAAUAGGCGAAUGAAUUAAAAUGUAAUUGUAAAAAGGACAGAGUCGAGCCUUAGUGGAAAGGUUUGGAGAUCGUUAUUAGCGUUGCGCUUUCGAUUUAUCUCGAGAAGAGGGUGGCCCUCCGCCAACAAAGGCGCGGUUCAAUUUCUCGCUUGGACCCUUCCAACUUUCGAGAGAUAAGCGAUCGAUCAACUCACUGAGAGAACGGUUUCGACAUUCAACAUCAUUGUAGAAAUUCAUACGUAUAAUGGGAGCAAAAUUGUGAUCGGCGCUUACUUUGAUCGCUCGGUUUCUUAAUUCAAAACCACGGAUGGUGUAAUACGCCGAAUCAUUUUUAUCGAUGUAAAGGAUUACAUUGUUUAUUUUAUUUUAUAAUAUUAUUGGCAGAAGAGAAAAAAGAGAGAGAGACACACACACAGAAAAAGACUCAAAAAUCAAAGUAUUCUUCAUGGAAAUUCAGUUUAUUUUUUAUUUACGAGCAGGAAUAUCGAAUAUUAAACUUGAGCGGUCGAGAAGUACAUUAUUAUUAAGGUUAGAUUGAUCGAGAUCCUAUGAGAGGUAUCUAGUAACUUCCGGUAAAGCGUAAGGAUAUUCCUCCGGUAUUUGAAUCAUUCAUUGCUUUCCCUUAAAAUCGCAUUACACACGUGAGAAUUUUGCUGUUCGCACAACAUAAUAUAUACUCAUUCAUUGUCCAAAUGAAUCUGUGAUUGUCGUUCUUUUGUUAAAAUAGAUAUGAAAAUUGAACUGAGCAUUUUGAAACAAUAAGAGAAUAAACUUGAGAUAAAAAGAAAGAGAAUCGAAAGUUACCGUGAAACUGUGCAAAGUGAAGUCGAUCACAAAUCGAGAUAAUUAAAGUGCAAAAUUAUCGAUCUUAAACCUGCCAUCUUCGCAGUUCGCCUUUGGUUAUCUCACGACAAUGACAAUAGUGAAGAUAACGAUCGUGGAGAUUAUUUUAAUAUCAUUUGUUUUAUCAUAAUGCAAAGGUUGCUUAUUAAAUGUGUUAGAAGUUCCUUUUGCGAACGAAAGUGUUUCAAGUAUUCAUCGUGGAUUUACUAACGACAAAAUAACAACGUGAAGAAGGAAAUCUAAUUUCAAGGUUUUUUUAAAAUUUGAAUCGUCCAUUUCAAUCUGUCUCUUUCGGGACUAGUGAGCCUGCUGGGCCUCGCCGAUGACGACGAGGUCUUAGCAGGUACCUCUGAAGAAAGCAGGAAGAGAGCACUCUGGCAAUUCUACUCGGCUGGGAUGCUAACUCAUAGUCACAGCGAUGGAGAAUUCCCCAUUUAUUCUCACGAAUAAAUAAAGACGAACGGAUCAAUCAAGUAGCUAUUUUCGUAUCGAAGGACUUAUUCGAUGAGAUUAUAUCACCGCGGGGUAAUAAAGAGAUGCUGAGUGGUGGCUAAGAACGGAUCGCAUAGUGCGAUAUUCGUCCAUAGAUUGUAGGGGAAUAACACGGUGCGGGAUACACAAUCCAAUCAUCUGCUGGUCGGUUAGUCACAGAGCCGAGCCGAGCCAUUCUCGUCGUCAUGAAAGGGACAGUUCACCGGGCUUAAGUACUGCUCGUGGACCGCAUUAACGUGUUGGUAUAGCUGGAUCGACGGAAGCCCAGCAAGGCGUGGUAAUGUCGACACAGUUCUCUUCGAUGUAAACACUACGAGUAGGUCGGCUUCAGUAUAACGGAGAACGCCGUUCACGAAGGCAAUCUCUUCCUCUUUCUUUCUCUUUCUUACUCUCUUUGCGUACGUCUCUCACUCCCCCUCCUCCUCUCUUCCUGUCUCUCUCUUUCUUUCUCUACGAUACUUAAUCAUCAGCUGUGAAAAUAACAAGAAAAGACUAUCAAAUUUGUAAUUGUUUUCCACGUUUUUAGUGCCUAGAUAGUAAUUUGUGAAAUUGAUAUUAAUUAAGUGAAAUAUCAAGCUUAGAAGAAUAGUGAUAUUGUUAGCAACAGUACAAGUACAAAUCCGCAAUCCAGUGAAGAAAAUGUAUAGAAAGAGACCUUGUAAGAAGCUAUCGAAUGUAAAUGUCAUUAUCUGAUAUUUGAUUUCUGGACUUUUGUUUUCUUAUUUUUGUUUGGAUACGUAGGACGAAAGGAAAAGACUCGAAGGAGAAAUUAUGCUUAACUCAUAGUAAUUACUGACAUAAAAAAUAUAGACCCACCCAACUUCGGGCGUUUUCUAUUUCUUUCUCUUUCUCGAGUCGAGAAAGAUGUGCCUUUCAUGUACGAUCUAUAUAUUAACCAUGAACGAUGAAUAGUGUUUCAUCAUUGCUGGAUUCUUGAGAAUAGGAAUAUACGUGCUAGUAACUUCUAUUCAACUCUUCCGACGAGAACAUAAACAUGAAUUCAGUUGGGAAAAGUAAUCCCUUUGAGAAAAUUCGUUAUAUCGUUAUAGUUAUAUAGAUUUGUGGAGAUCAAGCGAAUAGAAUAUAUCGUUGAAGAAAGUUUGAUCAGAGCUUCCAUAGACGAAGUUUCGAGAGCAAGAUUCCCAAAGGAAUGAAGAAACGAGGAAAGAAAGAGAGAAAAUCAGCGAGUCGAUAAAUUUUUCUUUUUUUUUUUUUUUCUUUCGUUCGGUAUAUAAGUAUAAUCUCAGUGAGUCGGUGAUUCAGUGUACAUUGAAAGAUGUGACGAGAGUGCGAGGUCUCUUAGGGAUAGGUUAAAUAUGAACUUGGUCAAAUGGAGAAUAGUGAGCAAGUCGAUUCGAAGGAAAUCGGAUCUUUCGAAAUGGGCAUCAAUUAAACCAAGUGUCCCAACGUGGCUUUCGUUUUCUCACCACGAGCUUGCACGAAUUCGGCGUAAUUGGAAGAAGAAGAAAUUACAAGGACGAAUUUUUUUUUACUGAUGAUCACUUGAAGAUUCAUUCGAAAACUUUCAUUAGAACAACUAAAUUACAUGAUAUACCUUUGUCGUCGAAUUUUCAACAAAGUUCUUUUUUUAUAAAAAAAAGAAAAACAUUGAAAAAAAAGAAGAAUAAAAGAGAUAAAAUAAAAAGUUAAAUGAACUGGUGAUGCGCGGAGAGUGUGCAUCGUUUACUUCAAAAUAUCUACCUCGAUUUAAGGAUGAGUCUCUGGCGAUUUGGUCUUCUGAAAGACGGUAAG